rnacentral:lncRNA from 1 species
CAUAUGGUCUUGGUAUCCCAGUCAAAUUGACGACGAAGAAAACUCGAGAACAAAAGUCCCUAUCAGAUACUUGCAGCAAAAACCUCGAGAAAGAAUGGCGAAUGCUUCACUUCAUCAUCAAUUAGCACUCUUUAUGUUCCUAUUUCUGGUUGCAUCUGGUACUUUCCCAUUUUUUAAUUUUUUUUUUGUGUGCCUUGGUUAGAAAUGCACAGGUUAUUUUCAAAAUGUAAAAUACCAAUUAAUGCAGAUCUUUUAAAAAAUAAAAAUGUUAUUAUAUAUUUUUUGUAUGCUUAUUUUUGCUAAAAGCAAACAUAUUUCGUUCAACAAUUCUUAUAAAACUUUCCUCCGACUAAUAAAAACUAAUAAAUUAAUAAUUAAUAUUUAUAGAUAAAAAAACCUUAUAAAUAGCUAAUUACUUCAAAAGAUUUGGGCGACAAAUAUAUAACUGACUACUAAAUAAGUAUGGCUUGGAAUUAAUGGUGGUAAAACUUUAUGUUUGAAGAUUAUGUAAAUCUUGAUUUAUUUUUUAAAAGAACAUUUCACUUGAUGAUUCUUUUUGGGUUUUACUUUCAGGUUUAACGCAACAAACUUUUGCAAAAGGUGAUCAAUGCAAAGCCGACAAAGAUUGUUAUCCAUAUUGUUCACAUCGCCCAGAUUGCCCUACGUUGUGUCUUGGUGGAUAUUGCCUUUGCAAUUGCCUUCCUACAGAAGUGCAUAUACAACAGAACUAAUUCUUGUAGUCAAUGGCUUGUAUUUUAGACUGGGUUUGGGUUAAAUGAAGUAUAAUGCAAAAUUAUUUCUAAAAUAAUAACAAUUUUGUAUGUUGAAUUUUCUCUUGCUGUC